rnacentral:rRNA from 1 species
UGGCUUUUAAAUGGGGUCUGGAAUGAAUGAACAAAUGGGUGAAUACUGUCUUAAAUAGACUAUUUAAAAGUUUCUUAAAAGGUGAAAAUUCCUUUAAAAAUUUAAUAGACGAGAAGACCCUGGGAGUUUAAAUAAUUUAUUAUAAUAUUUUGNUGGGGCGACAGUUUAACAANAAACUUAAAUUUCUUUAAUAUUUAAACGAUUUUUUUAAUUAGGGAUAAACUACCCCAGGGAUAACAGCAUAAUUUUUUAAAAGUUUGUGACCUCGAUGU